rfam:Schistosoma rodhaini strain Burundi genome assembly, scaffold: SROB_scaffold0003609
CCACUGCUGAGGAGUCCCAUAACAGGAUGAAACGGCUGUCCAGUGU